rnacentral:lncRNA from 1 species
UGCAGGCUCUUCAGACAGGAGAAUGACUCAUCCAGGUGGCCUCCAAUCGAGCAAGAGGGAAAUAUGUGAGUGGUUGAAAACACUUUGGAAAACCAGGAGAACAUGGAAGGAUAUCCAGCUGAAGAAAAACAGCCCAACAUGCAUCCCUGUGGUUUUCUUCCCUCUGUGUUCAGCUCUCCAGGUUAUGCUGGUGUAUUUGGCCUUGGCGUGUGCAAGUGGCAUUGGAGUCCCGGGCUCUGAACACACAAAGAGUGAGUUCGACGCUCUCCCAGAGCUCUUUCUCCUACAAAAGGAGGUAUACAAUAAGGGCUUGAUCCCCAGCAAACACUUGGCAGUCCAAACCCCACCACCCCUCACCUUCCAGAAAACUCCACCUACACACAAGCAGGAAAGGAUGGUGAGUGCCAAG